GUGCAGAGCGUACAGAACAAGUGCCAAAGAACGAUUCUUACAGCGCAAUGGUGUCGACCUGGAGCUCUUGCUACUUGUCGGCAAUCAUUUGCAUGGCAUUGGUCUGCAGUGUGAGCGAAGCGGCUGACGUCCAUUGUCCACCUUGGCCAAGAUGUACGUACAUUAAGAAGUGCUGCCAGCGUGCACAGAAUAGCAUGAGAUCGCAGUUGGUUUCACUUCAAGACAGAGAAUAUAAUCCAAAAAGGAUGCCGAAACUGACCCAACGCAGCUGAGUAUUUGGCGGCUGUACAACUGGAAACAUCUCCUGCUCCUUGAUAUUUGUAUUUGCGCAACAAAAAUAGAAACUGUGAAAUGGGAAAA